GAGAAGGAAUGUGAUCGCUACCAGUAAUUUAUAAUUGGAGUGGUCUAUUCCUACUCUU
ensembl:miRNA mdo-mir-7322 mdo-mir-7322